CUUUUGGUAGGAGAAGAGGCAUGAUAGGAAAAAGAAGCCUGUCCUUUGUUGGGAGAAGCCACGUUUUAACAUGGAGGCUGUUAUUCCAUGUGGCAGCCAUUUUAAGGACAAAAGCUAAGCGGAUACAGAAAGAGGAGAGGAAUUCUCAACAAACAGUGUUCCCUUCUGUCUGGUGAAUCCUGGAGUUCUGGGAGCAGUUGCCAAGGCACCCCGAGGAGUCCCUUGGCUCCAUCAGGGCUGGAGUGCGAAGCACACCUGUGUGGGAACAGCUUGGGAGUUCUCACCCACCACUCCUCUGAGCCUCUCAGGUCUCUGCUUCCCCUGCUCAGUAGUAAUCAAGGCAUUAAAUCACGUUUUGCCCAUCAUCACCUAGAGUCUGCCCACUGACAGCCUUACAUCCCACCAGGAAGUCUGUUCUGAUCAGCCUUUCACCGACUUCCUCUUGUGCUUACAAUGGACAAGCAAAGUGACUUCUGGG
rnacentral:lncRNA from 1 species